rnacentral:rRNA from 1 species
GACGAACGCUGGCGGCGUGCUUAACACAUGCAAGUCGAGCGGUAAGGCCUCUUCGGGGGUACACGAGCGGCGAACGGGUGAGUAACACGUGGGUGACCUGCCCUCAGCUCUGGGAUAAGCCUGGGAAACUGGGUCUAAUACCGGAUAUGACCUUUCCUCGCAUGGGGUUUGGUGGAAAGUUUUUUCGGCUGGGGAUGGGCCCGCGGCCUAUCAGCUUGUUGGUGGGGUGAUGGCCUACCAAGGCGACGACGGGUAGCCGGCCUGGGAGGGCGACCGGCCAACCUGGGACUGAGACACGGCCCAGACUCCUACGGGAGGCAGCAGUGGGGAAUAUUGCGCAAUGGGCGGAAGCCUGACGCAGCGACGCCGCGUGGGGGAUGACGGCCUUCGGGUUGUAAACCUCUUUCGACCCCGACGAAUUUGGACGGUAGGGGUAGAAGAAGCACCGGCCAACUACGUG